UCAUCUAAGACACAUGUCAACCCCUCCUUUCAUUUGCUAUCGUGUUCAUCAUCUAGACUGUCCACGACUCCAUUAUGUUCCAUGUAUCUUCCUAAACCCUAAUUAUUUCCCCCAAAAUUUCAGUCGUUUCUCUAUCUCGCCCCUAUCCUUUCAUUUGCUACCGUUCUCAAUCGGUUGUAAGAUGCUUCUCCUACACCAAAGAUCUAUUCUUUUUUCUACUCUUCACCUUCAUCGCAAUCUAAAAGCUAUUUACAGGUUCGAAUUCUGUUGAUUGACUUCAAUUUAUUUGGGGUAAAAUCGUUGCAAGGUCAUCUCUAGGGUUUUCACACAAUCCAAAAGCUGACAUGUUCUUCAUGUAUGAUUUCUUUCAUCUCAUAUCUUAUAAUUACGGUACGUUUCAAGAGUUGCAAAUCAUACUCCGCCACUAUCACUUACUAGCCUUUGUAAGGUUUUCGCAAUAUACUCCACCGCAUAUGGUUCAAAUCAGUUAUGCACAUGACUCAUGACUAUAAAGCCGUUCCAGGUACCUGUUUAUGCGCAAUUAGUCUGGUCUGAUUUUAUUUUUAUGUAUACUGUAUUUUGGUUGUUUAUUUUUCCUGUUCUGAAAGGUUGUGGCAUAAUCAUCAUGUAGUUGAUAAAUUGAGGAUUAGGAUAUGAAUAUGGAUGGAAAUUGUGAGGUGUUGAUUUUAAUAUGUUAUGCAAGGUUAGCUCUUUCAAGCAUGAAUUUGAGGUUGUAAUGUAGAUUUAGGGCUAAAUUACUUUUUGAGAUAUGAUGUUCUAAUUUUUGUUCAUGUUGUAUAGUUAACAAAUUGGGGAUUAACAUAUGUGUGUGGAUGGAAACUGUGAGUGUUUAUUCUGAUUUGCUUCACUAACCUAUCUUAACUCUUUAAAGGAUGAAAUUUGAGGUUUACAUAGAUUUGGGGGCAAUUUACUUUCAAAAUCUAUUAUACGAUGCCCUAAUUUCAUUCUUUUAGUUCUAAAUAGUUCUAACUAUAGAAAAUCAUAAGGUUUACUUUUUCUAAUAGCAUCUGUUUUUUCUAAAUGUGUAAUUAAUGAUGACCUUAAGUUUUUGUAUAAGGAUGUAGAGUAGAAAUAUUGAAGAAAGUGUUCAUGAUAUAGCUAACAAACUGAGAAUUAACAUAUGUUUAUUAGUAGAAACUAUGAGGUUUUGAUUUUGAUAUGUUUUACUAACCUAUGUUAACUCUUUAAAGCAUGAAUUUCAAGCUUUUGAAGUAGAUAUGGGGCCAAUUUACUUUCAAAGUCUGUGAUAUGUUAUACUAUGUAUUUAAUAUUUACCAUAUUAGAGGGUACUUAAUUGUAACAUCUAGCUCUUAGUAUUGAGCUCAUAUUGUAAUCAUAUUUGUCAAUCAACAUACACGUCUUCAGUUGGUACCGGGAUGAGGUGAAGGAAUUAUGUAGAUGCUUAACUUAUCUUUAUAAUAUUUUGUUGAUGAGAUGUAUUGGUUAGCUAAACUUGAAAUUUUUUUUUUUUAAAUGAGUACAUUAAAGGUAAUCUGUAAGGUGUUAAUGCAGGCCUUUGAAACAAGUUGUUUGUAAGCUUUUUGAAAAAAAGAAAGGGUUCAUUUCAAAUGAGCUUUUGGCUUUAGAUUUUGUUUGUUUUCUAUGCCUCAGUUUUAUUGAGUUUUGCUAUGGUCUUGUGGUUUGUGAUUGGAAGGUGAUAAUAUGUUUUGAUACUUUUAGCGAGUUUUUUUACCAACCUAAAUUAAAUUGUAUAUACUAAACUUGAAUGUAAUGUUUCUGGAUGACAUAUGUAAGAGGAGAUGGUUUAUUGUUAUUUUCAAAAUUGAGGUGUUCAUUAAUGAAAUGUGGUGGAGUAGAUUUUUUGUCAUUUCAACACUGUUCUGUUGCAGUGGCUUUAUUUACAAGAUUCAAGUACAAAGACAGGCAAGCUAUGCUAUUUACUCUUUCAUUAAAAUGGUUUUUUAAAGUAUGUAUAUUUUCUCCUGAAUUAUUGUUUAAUAAAAGCAACAUGGAAUUGAUGCACUGCUUGGCAUGACCAUUUUAUCUGCAUGUUUGGAGACCGUGAGUAAUCUUUCGAAGUCAAUUGUAUGUAUAUAUAAAGUCAAUUGUAUGUCGCAUUAUCAAGAGCUACAAGACAAGAUGACCUCAAAGUUGUUAUUCUAGAUUGUGAUGGUAAUCUUUCAAAUAAAACAUCAAAUGUUGUAUACAAAGAAGUUUUUAGAAAUUUGUAAUGUAAUUUUUUUACACUUUCAUGUCAAAUUACUUAGUUUGUUAUUUAUUUACUUAUUUUUAUUAUUUUA